rnacentral:misc_RNA from 1 species
AUCAAAAUGGAGUGCGACAAACUCGUCUCCAUUCACAUCCUUCAGAUACCGGAUAAAACCGCUCCGAACGCUGAUACUCUCUUCACCACAGACUUUCUGGGCAGUGACAAUCGCUGUACGAACGCUCGAUGGUAGCUGCUGCAGACGCUCGCUCGUCAGGUUCGACCAUCCGCCCUGCGGUGCGGAUGAACUAAAGGCACUGGCGUCGGUUGAUACCGCAACUAAUG